AUUGAACGCUAGCGGGAUGCUUUACACAUGCAAGUCGAACGAGUGGCGGACGGGUGAGUAAUAUCUCGGAACGUGCCUAGUAGCGGGGGAUAACUACUCGAAAGAGUGGCUAAUACCGCAUAACAUCGGAGCUGCCGAGAUUGGAUUAGCUCGUUGGUGGGGUAACGGCUCACCAAGGCAACGAUCCGUAGCUGGUUUGAGAGGACGACCAGCCACACUGGGACUGAGACACGGCCCAGACUCCUACGAGAGGCAGCAGUGGGGAAUUUUGGACAAUGGGGGAAACCCUGAUCCAGCCAUCCCGCGUGUAUGAGAAGGCCUUCGGGUUGUAAAGUACUUUUGGCAGAGAAGCGGUAUCUGCAGAAUAAGCACCGGCUAACUACGUGCCAGCAGCCGCGGUAAUUC
rnacentral:rRNA from 1 species